rnacentral:tRNA from 1 species
GGAGAGAUGGCCGAGAGGUCGAAGGCGCACGAUUGGAAAUCGUGUGACGGUUCAUAGCCGUCCGGAGGUUCGAAUCCUCUUCUCUCCGCCA